AGAGAGGAGCUUGCUCUUCUUGGAUGAGUUGCGAACGGGUGAGUAACGCGUAGGUAACCUGCCUUGUAGCGGGGGAUAACUAUUGGAAACGAUAGCUAAUACCGCAUAACAAUGGAUGACACAUGUCAUUUAUUUGAAAGGGGCAAUUGCUCCACUACAAGAUGGACCUGCGUUGUAUUAGCUAGUAGGUGAGGUAAUGGCUCACCUAGGCGACGAUACAUAGCCGACCUGAGAGGGUGAUCGGCCACACUGGGACUGAGACACGGCCCAGACUCCUACGGGAGGCAGCAGUAGGGAAUCUUCGGCAAUGGGGGCAACCCUGACCGAGCAACGCCGCGUGAGUGAAGAAGGUUUUCGGAUCGUAAAGCUCUGUUGUAAGUCAAGAACGGGUGUGAGAGUGGAAAGUUCACACUGUGACGGUAGCUUACCAGAAAGGGACGGCUAACUACGUGCCAGCAGCCGCGGUAAUACGUAGGUCCCGAGCGUUGUCCGGAUUUAUUGGGCGUAAAGCGAGCGCAGGCGGUUUGAUAAGUCUGAAGUUAAAGGCUGUGGCUCAACCAUAGUUCGCUUUGGAAACUGUCAAACUUGAGUGCAGAAGGGGAGAGUGGAAUUCCAUGUGUAGCGGUGAAAUGCGUAGAUAUAUGGAGGAACACCGGUGGCGAAAGCGGCUCUCUGGUCUGUAACUGACGCUGAGGCUCGAAAGCGUGGGGAGCGAACAGGAUUAGAUACCCUGGUAGUCCACGCCGUAAACGAUGAGUGCUAGGUGUUGGAUCCUUUCCGGGAUUCAGUGCCGCAGCUAACGCAUUAAGCACUCCGCCUGGGGAGUACGACCGCAAGGUUGAAACUCAAAGGAAUUGACGGGGGCCCGCACAAGCGGUGGAGCAUGUGGUUUAAUUCGAAGCAACGCGAAGAACCUUACCAGGUCUUGACAUCCCGAUGCUAUUUCUAGAGAUAGAAAGUUACUUCGGUACAUCGGUGACAGGUGGUGCAUGGUUGUCGUCAGCUCGUGUCGUGAGAUGUUGGGUUAAGUCCCGCAACGAGCGCAACCCCUAUUGUUAGUUGCCAUCAUUCAGUUGGGCACUCUAGCGAGACUGCCGGUAAUAAACCGGAGGAAGGUGGGGAUGACGUCAAAUCAUCAUGCCCCUUAUGACCUGGGCUACACACGUGCUACAAUGGUUGGUACAACGAGUUGCGAGUCGGUGACGGCGAGCUAAUCUCUUAAAGCCAAUCUCAGUUCGGAUUGUAGGCUGCAACUCGCCUACAUGAAGUCGGAAUCGCUAGUAAUCGCGGAUCAGCACGCCGCGGUGAAUACGUUCCCGGGCCUUGUACACACCGCCCGUCACACCACGAGAGUUUGUAAC
rnacentral:rRNA from 1 species